CAGCAGCCGCGGUAAUACGUAGGUGGCAAGCGUUGUCCGGAAUUAUUGGGCGUAAAGGGCUCGCAGGCGGUUUCUUAAGUCUGAUGUGAAAGCCCCCGGCUCAACCGGGGAGGGUCAUUGGAAACUGGGAAACUUGAGUGCAGAAGAGGAGAGUGGAAUUCCACGUGUAGCGGUGAAAUGCGCAGAGAUGUGGAGGAACACCAGUGGCGAAGGCGACUCUCUGGUCUGUAACUGACGCUGAGGAGCGAAAGCGUGGGGAGCGAACAGGAUUAGAUACCCCAGUAGUCCCUGUCUCUUAUAC
rnacentral:rRNA from 1 species